rnacentral:rRNA from 1 species
GACGUAGGGCGCAAGCGUUGUCCGGAAUCAUUGGGCGUAAAGAGCGUGUAGGCGGCCCGGUAAGUCCGCUGUGAAAGUCCAGGGCUCAACCCUGGGAUGCCGGUGGAUACUGUCGGGCUCGAGUCCGGAAGAGGAGUGUGGAAUUCCUGGUGUAGCGGUGAAAUGCGCAGAUAUCAGGAGGAACACCAAUGGCGAAGGCAGCACUCUGGGACGUGACUGACGCUGAGACGCGAAAGCGUGGGGAG